CUUGGCGGUAACAGCGGAGGGGAUCACCUGUUCCCAUACCGAACACAGUAGUUAAGCCCUCCAGCGGCGAUGGUAUUGCCACAUCUCGUGGUGAGAGAGUAGCUCACUGCCAAGA
rnacentral:rRNA from 1 species